rnacentral:rRNA from 1 species
GAGUUUGAUCCUGGCUCAGAUUGAACGCUGGCGGCAUGCCUUACACAUGCAAGUCGAACGGCAGCACGGGAGCUUGCUCCUGGUGGCGAGUGGCGAACGGGUGAGUAAUGCAUCGGAACGUAUCCUGGAGUGGGGGAUAACGUAGCGAAAGUUACGCUAAUACCGCAUAUUCUGUGAGCAGGAAAGCGGGGGACCUUCGGGCCUCGCGCUCUUGGAGCGGCCGAUGUCGGAUUAGCUAGUUGGUGAGGUAAAGGCUCACCAAGGCGACGAUCCGUAGCAGGUCUGAGAGGAUGAUCUGCCACACUGGAACUGAGACACGGUCCAGACUCCUACGGGAGGCAGCAGUGGGGAAUUUGGACAAUGGGGGCAACCCUGAUCCAGCCAUGCCGCGUGAGUGAAGAAGGCCUUCGG